rnacentral:rRNA from 1 species
AUUGAACGCUGGCGGCAGGCCUAACACAUGCAAGUCGAACGGUAACAGGAAGCAGCUUGCUGCUUCGCUGACGAGUGGCGGACGGGUGAGUAAUGUCUGGGAAGCUGCCUGAUGGAGGGGGAUAACUACUGGAAACGGUAGCUAAUACCGCAUAAUGUCGCAAGACCAAAGAGGGGGACCUUCGGGCCUCUUGCCAUCGGAUGUGCCCAGAUGGGAUUAGCCUGUUGGUGGGGUAACGGCUCACCAAGGCGACGAUCCCUAGCUGGUCUGAGAGGAUGACCAGCCACACUGGAACUGAGACACGGUCCAGACUCCUACGGGAGGCAGCAGUGGGGAAUAUUGCACAAUGGGCGCAAGCCUGAUGCAGCCAUGCCGCGUGUAUGAAGAAGGCCUUCGGGUUGUAAAGUACUUUCAGCGGGGAGGAAGGGAGUAAAGUUAAUACCUUUGCUCAUUGACGUUACCCGCAGAAGAAGCACCGGCUAACUCCGUG